rnacentral:lncRNA from 1 species
AUGGUGCUGUCAGCUCUCCCUCCGCUCCCGAGUGCUUCAGCCAUCACAAGGAUGUUCCACCGCCUCCCUGAUCCUCCCCUGCAGGUCCCCUGGCUGCUGGACAUGGUGGUGUCCCGGGUGGCAGAGGUGGCCUCCCUGACACUCUCUGGCCGGGUCAUCGUCUUUCCUGAGUUUAAGUUGGAGUUUAUCCACAAACCACCUCCCAGGAAACCAUCCAAGGCAUCCAGGGAAGUGCCUGGUGAGGGCAAGAUGGAGAAAGAAGAGGGUUUGGGUGUGCCACCUCUUGGCCGGGACAAGAAAGGGCCAGGAAAGAUCCCUGAGCAGCCAUCCUUACAUGGCCGACGGAGCACUGCCCAUAGAGGAGGCACAGGUUCUUUUCCCAAAACAAGGGUGGAGCAGAAGAAGAGCUCUGUGCCCAGUCAAGUUCCAGCGCUCCCGGCGGUGUCUUCACCCAAAAAGAUGGCUGUGCCCAGCAAAACCCAGAGUGAAGGCACGACCAAAAGCACUGCACCACCCACGGGUCCAGCACGGGCAAUAAAACCCCACAGGUGCACAGAGGAACAAGGUGCGGUGAGGCCGGCACUGAGCAGCCAAGGUCAGCACAAGCUGACAGCACAAAGUAAAGCAGCAGAGCCAGGCCGCACUCGUGGAGUGGAACCUCAGAGCUGCCAGGAAGGAAGAGGAGCAGCAAAGCCGGUGCUGAGCAGCAAAAGUGAUGGGAAACACACAGCCAGAGCUCCAGCACAAGGCUUGGGUCGGGCUCAGGCUGCUGGAGCUCAGUGGGUCAGAAAACAAGCAGUGAAGCCAGCACUGAGCAGCCAGCUUCAGGGCAAAGUCAUCACCAAAGGGAAGGCUCCAGAAAUACGUCCAGCACAGCCUCAGAGUUUGAAAGAAGAAAGAGGGGUGGUGAGACCGGCACCAAUGAGUCAGUUUGUGGGCAAAUCCAUAGCCAAAGCUCCAGUACCAAAGGCAGGUGGAGCCCAGGCAGUGCAGUCUCAGAGCAUCAGAGAAGGACGAGGAGCAGAGAAAACCCUCAGUGAUGGCAGAGUGCCGGAGGCAAACAAGGCGGAGCUGAGUGGCCCUCAUGCAGCCCGGCCUCCAUGGAUAAUACCCAAGAUAGUGAUUGAAUCGCCAUCGAGCUCUGAGGGCAGCCUGCCUGGGAAGCCCGUCUACGACAGAUCCCUUUUGAUGCCACCACCACUCAGCUUCAAGCGCCAACAACGGUCCCGAGACAGGGCACAAAAGAGGUGUGUGAUUCCUACCCGUAUCGCUGUAGGUUGCCAUAUCCCUGUAGGAAAGCAGGGGUGGAGGAACAGGGUGGGGGGACUCUCCUGAGACCCCUUGGCUCUGAGGGAUGGGAUGGCUGAAUUCCCUCCAGCCUUGGGCUGCUGCGACACUAGAGAGUUCCUCCUCCUCCAAUGCCACGCUGUGCUCUGUUGGCACACCCAGCACACCAAGGCUGAUUCUGCAGCAUGUGGAAGGCCCAGCUAAGUGUGAGUCUGCUCAGGGUUGGAGAGGAACCCACUGCUUUCCAGCUCGUAGCUCCUCCAGUUCCCUGAUGGGAAGAAAAGGGUUUUGGGGGUGGGGGGGUCGCUCAGGAGCAAAGUAAUUCAGCUGGACACCGAGGGGGGAGGGAGAGAGAGGGAGUGAAAUGGCUGCCCUGCCCUCAGCAUCCUGAGCUGAAGUCUCCGACGGGGUCUGUUAGUGGGCAAAGAGCUCUCCAAACCCGCCCUGUUUUUGAAGAGUUCUUCUCCUGUUACAGAAAACAAUCGGCCUUGUGAGCGUGGGGGUGCAUGGAAGGCUAUUGGAGCGAGAUGAACAGCAGGUGGAAGCAAGGCUGAGAACCAAGGGCAUCUCUAGAAGAGGAGGAGAGCAAAAGGAACGGCUCCUGGCUCCGGCUGGAUGAGCUCCUGCAUGCCUGCAUGCUUAGGGACUGCUUGUGGAAUGAAGGAGGGG